GGACUGUGGUUUUCCUUAUGUAUCCCUACUGUAAGGACACUGGUGACGCACAGGCGGACGGGGCAGUUAAAGGACUGACUGGUUUGUUGGCUAUGGUGUGCAGUUGUAACUAGAAGGCAUUCAGAAGAAUACAAUUAUUUCCUUCGUGAUGAUUCCACAUCUCAUCUUACAGUGGAUUUAGCUGAUUUCUAAAUCUGCAUGUGAACUUAUAUUAAAGGCUUUGGUUUGGAUGCCACCUCCUAGGGUCCUGAGUUGCUAAGACAACGUGAACGCCCUCAUUUUGCAUUCCAUUGCAAACCUUCAACAAAAUGCUUAACAAAUCAAUAUUGUGUUCAGAAUCAAACCCAGAAGAAUAUUAGUGCCUUUCUAAGUACGUAUUUUAUUCUCUUUUGAGCUUUUUGACCCAUCCAUCAGCUGUUUGCUAGCAUAUCAGCUCCUGCAGUGUUGAAAUUGUGUCUGGUGCAGUGUUCUGUAUAUAACAGAAACUUAGCAAAUAGGUUUUCAAUUGAAAUCUUCAGAAUAAAUUCAAAAGAAAACAUC